ensembl:lncRNA
UGGCUCUAAAUGGCCUUAAUUCUGUCAUUAGGUGAGAGAGAAUAACGCAGGGAUUGGCCGGUCGGUCUGUUCCAUAUUCAGUAGCUCCGGAUGAGGCGGGGGGCCUGCUGGGAAAAUGGUGUCGUAAUCAGGAGCCCACCGCUCUGCCUGAUCAGCAGGACUCCCAUUGAGAUGUUGCUGAAGUUAACGUCCAAAUGCCCUGCAGACGUGGAAAGCUCUUCUUCAAGCCAUGCCUUUCCAUCCCACAAAGCCAUCAUUUGACUUUGAAGGUCCUUCCUCCUCGUUCUGCCCUUCCUUUGCCCUCAGAGGCCCAAGAUUAACUCAACACAUCAAAGAGCUGUUCCAUUCAAGCCUCGAUGUAGUACCCCCUCCCAGCACACACAUGCCCACAUGCACUUACCAUUAGAAAAAACUUUGGACCUUACCUUUCCCACCUAUUCUGUGGCCUUCAGCAUGCAGCAAGUUUUUCCCUGCCCACUGUUUGUUCUCCAUGCUGUAGGAAGCAGCAUGCUGGGUCACUUUCCCUUCACCUUUUGUGGUGUGGUCUUAAAUCCACCCUUAGUUGCUGGGGGCUAUGCUUGCAUCUCUCAAGAGCUGAUAUCGACAAUCUAGAUGGAAGCAGCCACCACCAGUGGAACGAUCAGGGCCAUGGGUCAAGCUGGUCACUUUUUCAGAGUGGUCAGUGUCCAGUGAGGCAGGUGAAGGGGGCAGCCCUUGUCACUGUGGGAAAGAGAGCAUCAAGAGGAAUUUGCAUGUAUGGCUCAGGUAACAUAGUGGGGGAAGGGUGGAGUGAGGAGACCAAAGCAGACAGAGUAACCCUGACCCUGAGGAAAAAG